rnacentral:tRNA from 1 species
GCUGCUUUAUUAUAUGUAUAGUAUGUUAGCUUUUCGUGCUGUUAGAGAUGUUUUGUUAGCCAUCAAGCAGUA